rnacentral:siRNA from 1 species
AGAAAGGGGAAUUGAGUAUUCUGC